CAGAAGCAGAUAGACAAAUAUAAAAAAGAAAGGAGCCACAUUGUGGAAAACCAGCUUUCAAGUAUCUUUCAAGAAAUUUUACCGGUUACCAACUCGGAUGAUAAGGAACAUGAGCCAUGUGAACGUCGAUCGGUUAAAAUAGUACCGAGUGAUGACAUGACAGAUAAUGAAGACGAGAUUCCGGUACGAAGCAGACGUAAUAAGUGGCGCAGAAUUCAAAUAAGUCCGUAUCUCUCCG